AUUGAACGCUGGCGGCAUGCCUUACACAUGCAAGUCGAACGGUAACAGGUCUUCGGAUGCUGACGAGUGGCGAACGGGUGAGUAAUACAUCGGAACAUGCCUAGUAGUGGGGGAUAACUACUCGAAAGAGUGGCUAAUACCGCAUGAGAUCUACGGAUGAAAGCAGGGGAUCGCAAGACCUUGUGCUACUAGAGCGGCCGAUGGCAGAUUAGGUAGUUGGUGGGAUAAAAGCGUACCAAGCCGACGAUCUGUAGCUGUUCUGAGAGGACGAUCAGCCACACUGGGACUGAGAAACGGCCCAGACUCCUACGGGAGGCAGCAGUGGGGAAUUUUGGACAAUGGGCGCAAGCCUGAUCCAGCAAUGCCGCGUGCAGGAUGAAGGCCUUCGGGUUGUAAACUGCUUUUGUACGGAACGAAAAGCCCCGGGUUAAUACCCUGGGGUCAUGACGGUACCGUAAGAAUAAGCACCGGCUAACUACGUGCCAGCCGCCGCGGUAA
rnacentral:rRNA from 1 species